AAAGUACUCCCUACGUCCGGAAAAACUUGUCCCAAGCUUGUUUGUCAAAUGGAUAUAUCUAGCACUAACUUGGUGCUAGAUACAUCCAUUUGAGGGACAAGUUUUUCCGGAUGGAGGGAGUAGUAC
rfam:Triticum aestivum genome assembly, contig: Triticum_aestivum_CS42_TGACv1_scaffold_423450_5BS